rnacentral:rRNA from 1 species
CCCAGACUCCUACGGGAGGCAGCAGUGAGGAAUAUUGGUCAAUGGGCGGGAGCCUGAACCAGCCAAGUCGCGUGAGGGAUGACGGCCCUAUGGGUUGUAAACCUCUUUUGUCAGGGAGCAAAGGGCGCCACGUGUGGCGUUUUGCGAGUACCUGAAGAAAAAGCAUCGGCUAACUCCGUGCCAGCAGCCGCGGUAAUACGGAGGAUCCGAGCGUUAUCCGGAUUCAUUGGGUUUAAAGGGUGCGUAGGUUGUUUUAUAAGUUAGCGGUGAAAUACCGAUGCUCAACAUCGGGGCUGCCGCUAAUACUGUAGGACUAGAGAUCGGAUGCAGCAGGCGGAAUGUGUAGUGUAGCGGUGAAAUGCAUAGAUAUUACACAGAACACCGAUUGCGAAGGCAGCUUGCUAGGCCGGAUCUGACACUGAUGCACGAAAGCGUGGGGAUCGAACAGGAUUAGAUACCCUGGUAA